AGCAGCCGCGGUAAUUCCAGCUCCAAUAGCGUAUAUUAAAGUUGUUGCAGUUAAAAGCUCGUAGUUGAAUUUCGGGAUCAGUGGGUCGGUCGUGCCACUGGUAUGCACUGGCCCUACUGGUUCCUCCUUCUUGAAGAACUUGUAAUGCCAUUAAUUUGGUGUUGCAGGGAAACAGGACUGUUACUUUGAAAAAUUGAGUGUUUAAAGCAGGCAAUCGCUUGAAUACAUUAGCAUGGAGUAAUGAAAUAGGACGAUCGAUCCUAUUUUGUUGGUUUCUAGGAUUGACGUAAUGAUUAAUAGGGAUAGUUGGGGGCAUUAGUAUUCAAUUGUCAGAGGUGAAAUUCUUGGAUUUAUUGAAGACUAACUACUGCGAAAGCAUUUGCCAAGGAUGUUUUCAUUAAUCAAGAACGAAAGUUAGGGAUCGAAGACGAUCAGAUACCGUCGUAGUCUUAACCAUUAAACUAUGCCGACUAGGGAUCGGAUGAUGUUAAUUUUUAAUGUACUUCUAUUCGG
rnacentral:misc_RNA from 1 species